CAGCAGCCGCGGUAAUACCGGCGGCCCGAGUGGCGGUCACUAUUAUUGGGCUUAAAACGUCCGUAGCCGGGUUGGGAAGUCCUCCGGGAAAUCUGGCCGCUUAACGGUCAGAAUGCCGGAGGAUACUCCCAGCCUAGGGAGCGGGAGAGGCCGAGGGGAUUCCCGGGGUAGGGGUGAAAUCCUAUAAUCCCGGGAGGACCACCUGUGGCGAAGGCGCUCGGCUGGAACGCGUCCGACGGUGAGGGACGAAGGCCAGGGGAGCAAACCGGAUUAGAUACCCGGGUAGUCCUGGCGGUAAACGAUGCGGACUUUGUGUCGGACAAGCUAUGAGCUUGUCCGGUGCCGGAGGGAAACCGUUAAGUCCGCCGCCUGGGGAGUACGGCCGCAAGGCUGAAACUUAAAGGAAUUGGCGGG
rnacentral:rRNA from 1 species